UGAGUAGUGUAGCGGUGAAAUGCAUAGAUAUUACUCAGAACACCGAUUGCGAAGGCAGGUUACCAAGUUAUAACUGACGCUGAGGGACGAAAGCGUGGGGAGCGAACAGGAUUAGAUACCCUGGUAGUCCACGCCGUAAACGAUGCUAACUCGUUUUUGGGCUUUAUAGUUCAGAGACCAAGCGAAAGUGAUAAGUUAGCCACCUGGGGAGUACGACCGCAAGGUUGAAACUCAAAGGAAUUGACGGGGGCCCGCACAAGCGGUGGAUCAUGUGGUUUAAUUCGAUGAUACGCGAGGAACCUUACCAAGGCUUAAAUGGGAAUUGACAGCUGUAGAAAUACGGUUUUCUUCGGACAAUUUUCAAGGUGCUGCAUGGUUGUCGUCAGCUCGUGCCGUGAGGUGUUAGGUUAAGUCCUGCAACGAGCGCAACCCCUGUCACUAGUUGCUAACAUUAAGUUGAGGACUCUAGUGAGACUGCCUACGCAAGUAGAGAGGAAGGUGGGGAUGACGUCAAAUCAUCACGGCCCUUACGCCUUGGGCCACACACGUGAUACAAUGGCCGGUACAGAGGGCAGCUACACUGCGAAGUGAU
rnacentral:rRNA from 1 species